rnacentral:rRNA from 1 species
UGGGGAAUUUUGGACAAUGGGCGAAAGCCUGAUCCAGCCAUGCCGCGUGAGUGAAGAAGGCCUUCGGGUUGUAAAGCUCUUUUAGUCGGAAAGAAAGAGUUGCAAUGAAUAAUUGUGAUUUAUGACGGUACCGACAGAAAAAGCACCGGCUAACUACGUGCCAGCAGCCGCGGUAAUACGUAGGGUGCGAGCGUUAAUCGGAAUUACUGGGCGUAAAGGGUGCGCAGGCGGUCUUGCAAGUCAGAUGUGAAAGCCACGGGCUUAACCUGGGAAUUGCGUUUGAAACUACAAGGCUUGAGUGCAGCAGAGGGGAGUGGAAUUCCAAGUGUAGCAAUGAAAUGCGUAGAGAUGUGGAAGAACACCGAUGGCGAAGGCAGCUCCCUGGGUUGACACUGACGCUCAUGCACGAAAGCGUGGGGAGCAAACA